ncrna:unclassified sequences IS605-orfB-I RNA
ACCUUAUAAAGAUGUAGUUACGCAAGACAGUAACGCAUUUCCCUUUAAGGUGAUGUUAGACAGAGAAGUAUAAGCAAGAAGUCUUAUUGUGAAGCUAUGCGUUGAAAUAGGAUGAGUUUAUACGGAAUAGGUUAACCGUAAGACCUUAUGUUGAAAAACAUUAAAAUUGACCUAGAAAUAAGAGAAUUUCUGAAUUUUCGUUAUUUUUAGUUACGGUAAA